rnacentral:lncRNA from 1 species
UUGACUUAUAGUUAGAGGAACAAUAACUUCUAAACUGGACAUCUUUAUCUCCAGCACCCUGCUCUCCCAGAUAUUGAAAACAGGUGGCUUGGGAUAUAUUUGGCCUGCAGAUACAUAUGGUUUAGUUCAUAGAGUGUUUUUAAAACAGUUUUACUUAAGUAUAAUUGACAUAUAAUGAACUGCAUAUAUUUCACCUGGCCUAAUUCUUGUGUAUUGAUAAGUAGUAGUCCAUCGUAUAAGUCUGGGUAUAGACACAUACUUUCUUUUCUCAUGGGUAGAGACCUAACAGUGGAAUGUUAGAUCAUAUGGUAAGUACAUAUUGAAUAUAUUGAAGUAACUUCCAACCUAAUUUACUUUACCCUAACAACUAACAAGAUUUUGAACAUCGUUUCAUUGCUUAUUAUCAAUCAGUAUAUCCUUUUGUUAAAUGUCUCUUCAAAUCUUUUACCUGUGUUUUUACUGGGUUGCAUUUCUGCUUAUUAAACAGUUUUGAGAUUACAUAUAUAAUAUGAUUACAUAUAUAAUAUGUAUUUGUGUAUAUUUUAUAUAUAUAUAUAUUCUGAAUACAAGUCCUUUAUCAGAUAUGUGAACUGCCAAUAUUUUAUCCCAGUCUGUGG